GCCUCUCUUUUCUUCUCUCGACCUAAUCAUUUCAGUCUCUCUCUUUCUUCUCUUCAAUAAUCUUCUCAGUUUUCUCUUCGUCAUCGAGAAUUCGAAAUCGUCAAGGAGAUUGCCAAGGACUGGAAGGGUCGUCAGUCCUCUUAGUUUUCUCUUCGUCUCUGGUCUCCGCCGCCACUCCAGUCAUCUAAGCCCUCAAAGAGCUAGAUUGCGACCGCAAGGUGUAGAACAUCAAGCACAGCGGCAAGUUGACAAUGAGGACCUGAGCGGGACCGUCGCUUUACCCGCACCUUUAUUCUUCUUCAUAUUCUGCAGAUCCAGAGCCUUUCUCUCAAGUGUUUGCUGCAGAUCCAGCCAUAUUGCUGAAGACAUCAAGCAGCCCCGGUUUUUGGAACUAUUCGUAACUGUUGUUUUGAAGCUGUGAGCGAGCUGCAGAAUUUGCUUUUGAUUUUAGAGUUUCUCUAGCCAGCUCUGCUUCUACCUGUUGCCGGUAACAAGGUGAAAAAUGAUGCAAGCACUAAUGGUUUUCGUUUUUGUUACUGGCCUUGCUAACUCUAUUGAUAGAUUAUGGUUCAGCAGCAAUGGGACAGAACCCAACCGAGGCUGAGCUCUAAGAUAUG
rnacentral:lncRNA from 1 species